rnacentral:tRNA from 1 species
GCAGUCAUGGCCGAGUCGUUAAGGCGUUAGACUAGAAAUUAUAACCCCUAUGGGGUCGCAGGUUCAAAUCCUGCUUACUGCG